rnacentral:antisense_RNA from 1 species
CGUUAUGGCGGCUGUGCGUGGGAGACCUUCGGGUCUGCUGGGUUUACUUCUUGCCCCGGUCUUGCACACCUACGUACAGUUGCCACCCUA